UACGGGGGGAGCAAGCGUUGUUCGGAUUUACUGGGCGUAAAGGGCGCGUAGGCGGCCACCGCAAGUCGACUGUGAAAUCUCCGGGCUUAACCCGGAAAGGUCAGCCGAUACUGCGGGGCUAGAGUGCAGAAGGGGCAACUGGAAUUCUCGGUGUAGCGGUGAAAUGCGUAGAUAUCGAGAGGAACACCUGCGGCGAAGGCGGGUUGCUGGGCUGACACUGACGCUGAUGCGCGAAGCUAGGGGAGCGAAGCGGG
rnacentral:rRNA from 1 species